GCUUGUCUCAAAGAUUAAGCCAUGCAUGUCUAAGUAUAAGCAUUUAUACAGUGAAACUGCGAAUGGCUCAUUACAUCAGUUAUAGUUUAUUUGAUAGUCCCCACUACUUGGAUAACCGUAGUAAUUCUAGAGCUAAUACAUGCGUCAAGUCCCUACCGCGCGAGCGGGAAGGAUGUGUUUAUUAGAUACAACCAACCCUUCGGGUCCCUGGUGAAUCAUAAUAAUUGAGCGAACCGCAUGCUUCGGCGGCGGUGGUUCAUUCAAGUUUCUGCCCUAUCAGCUUUCGAUGGUAGGGUAUUGGCCUACCAUGGCGUUAACGGGUAACGGAGAAUUAGGGUUCGAUUCCGGAGAGGGAGCCUGAGAGAUGGCUACCACAUCCAAGGAAGGCAGCAGG
rnacentral:rRNA from 1 species